rnacentral:rRNA from 1 species
AACGAACGCUGGCGGCAGGCUUAACACAUGCAAGUCGAGCGCACCGCAAGGUGAGCGGCCGACGGGUGAGUAACGCGUGGGAAUCUACCCAACCCUACGGAAUAACCCAGGGAAACUUGGACUAAUACCGUAUACGCCCUUUUGGGGAAAGAUUUAUCGGGGAUGGAUGAGCCCGCGUUGGGUUAGCUAGUUGGUGGGGUAAAGGCCUACCAAGGCGACGAUCCAUAGCUGGUCUGAGAGGAUGAUCAGCCACAUUGGGACUGAGACACGGCCCAAACUCCUACGGGAGGCAGCAGUGGGGAAUAUUGGACAAUGGGCGCAAGCCUGAUCCAGCCAUGCCGCGUGAGUGAUGAAGGCCUUAGGGUUGUAAAGCUCUUUCAGUAGGGAAGAUAAUGACGGUACCUACAGAAGAAGCCCCGGCUAACUUCGUG